CCCUUAGAUGUUCUGGGCUGCACGCGUGCUACAAUGGCGUUUCCAGCAAGUCUGCGAACCCGAGAGGGCCAGCGGAUCUUCGAAUUGGCGUCGUGAUCGGGACAGCCGAUUGCAAUUAUUUGACUCAAACGAGGAAUUCCUUGUAAUCGCGAUUCAUCAUAUCGCGCUGAAUACGUCCCUGCCCUUUGUACACACCGCCCGUCGCUCCUACCGAUUGAGCGAUCCGGUAAAUGUUUUGGAUUGGUGCCGGGGCGGCUAGCUGCCGGUCGCUACGAAAUUUUGUGAACCUUAUCGCUUAGAGGAAGGAAAAGUCGUAACA
rnacentral:rRNA from 1 species